GAGUGAACGCUGGCGGUAGGCCUAACACAUGCAAGUCGAACGGCAGCACAGUAAGAGCUUGCUCUUACGGGUGGCGAGUGGCGGACGGGUGAGGAAUACAUCGGAAUCUACUUUUUCGUGGGGGAUAACGUAGGGAAACUUACGCUAAUACCGCAUACGACCUACGGGUGAAAGCAGGGGAUCUUCGGACCUUGCGCGAUUGAAUGAGCCGAUGUCGGAUUAGCUAGUUGGCGGGGUAAAGGCCCACCAAGGCGACGAUCCGUAGCUGGUCUGAGAGGAUGAUCAGCCACACUGGAACGUAGACACGGUCCAGACUCCUACGGGAGGCAGCAGUGGGGAAUAUUGGACAAUGGGCGCAAGCCUGAUCCAGCCAUACCGCGUGGGUGAAGAAGGCCUUCGGGUUGUAAAGCCCUUUUGUUGGGAAAGAAAAGCAGCAGGUUAAUACCCCGCUGUUCUGACGGUACCCAAAGAAUAAGCACCGGCUAACUUCGUG
rnacentral:rRNA from 1 species